UAGCAUAUGCUUGUCUCAAAGAUUAAGCCAUGCAUGUCUAAGUACAAGCCGCUAUGCGGCGAAACCGCGAAUGGCUCAUUAAAUCAGUUAUGGUUCCUUAGAUCGUACCAUCCUACUUGGAUAACUGUGGUAAUUCUAGAGCUAAUACAUGCAAACAAGCCCCGACCUCACGGGAGGGGUGCUUUUAUUAGAUCAAAACCAAUCGGGUUUCGGCCCGUCCAUUUGGUGACUCUGAAUAACUUUGAGCUGAUCGCACGGUCUCGAACCGGCGACGCAUCUUUCAAAUGUCUGCCUUAUCAACUGUCGAUGGUAGGUUAUGCGCCUACCAUGGUUGCAACGGGUAACGGGGAAUCAGGGUUCGAUUCCGGAGAGGGAGCCUGAGAAACGGCUACCACAUCCAAGGAAGGCAGCAGGCGCGCAAAUUACCCACUCCCGGCACGGGGAGGUAGUGACGAAAAAUAACGAUACGGGACUCUUCCGAGGCCCCGUGAUUGGAAUGAGUACACUUUAAAUCCUUUAACGAGGACCUAUU
rnacentral:rRNA from 1 species